rnacentral:rRNA from 1 species
UCGCGCAUCGACCGCGACCCC